AUGAAUUAUUAUUUAUCUUUGAAAAAUAAAAAAGAUGCUUGAUUCGGCGUAUAACUGGUAAAAUUGUCUGGGUUCUUUCUUCUUCGUCUUCUUAAUCGUGGGUUUGAAGCUUGUUUCGGGUUGAAACAAUCCUCGAGGUAUGUAAAUCUCUAUUUUCUCGUUUUUAAUUUGUGGUUUAUUUUUAUUUUCUUGGUUUUGUUUUCUGAGUUUUGGAAGAUUAAAAUCGAACGAGAGAAGAAACAUGUAUGAUCAGCUCUCUUCGAUGAGAUUGUUUUCGCGAUUUUGGAAUCAAGAUGAUUUCAAUUUCUGGUUUCUUUUUUCUUUUUCUUUUUGUUGAUUUUGUUUUCUGAAUUUUGGAGGAUUGAAAUCAAACAAGAGAACAAGCAUGUAUGAAAGCUCUUAUCGAUGAGAUUUUUUUUGCAAUUGACAAUUCGUUUUGGGAUUUUGGAAUCAAGAUGUUUUGUUUCAAUAGUAUUUUCAAAACCUUUUUAAUCGUCCUACAGAUUCUUAAUCUUGGGAUAUAUUGUGAACAGUUUGGUUUUUGUUUUUGUUUUAAAACCCAAAAAGAUUCAUGGGCAGACACUAAUCUAAUAGUGUUCUGUCAGAUUCUUUUUGGGGACAUUGUCCCUUGCAAACUGUGCAUUGAACUGGCUGGGUAGUGCAUGCAUAUGUUGGGAGUUGGUAAAAGAGGUUGCGAUGGGAAUGACCUACGGGUUUAAAGUCUCAAGACAAAGACUGAAUAACACAAAAAAGCUCUAAGAGUUUGGUACCCACGGCUUUGGAUGGAAACAACCUAUGGCUUAGAAAAAUUACAAGACAAAAGAGCAACGUCUUAAGACAAAGACUGAAUAACACAGAGCUCUAAGAGUUUGGUACCCACGGCUUUGGAUGGAAAACACCUAUGGCUUAGAAAAACUGCAAGACAAAAGAGCUCUAAGAGUUUGAAUGGGAAUGACCUACGGGUUAAGAGUCUUAAGACAAAGACUUGAAUAACACAAAAGAGCUCUAAGAGAGUUUGGUACCCACGGCUUUGGAUGGAAACAACCUAUGGCUUAGAAAAAUUAUAAGACAAAAGAGCUAAGUCUAAGACAAAGACUGAAUAACACAGAGCUCUAAGAGUUUGGUACCCACGGCUUUGGAUGAAACAACCUAUGGCUUAAAAAAAUAAGACAAAAGAGCAAAGUCUUAAGACAAAGACUGAAUAACACAAAAGGGCUAUGGUACCCACGGCUUUGGAUGGAAACAACCUAUGGCUUACAAAAAUUACAAGACAUAAGAGCUCUAAGAGUCUUAAGACAAAGACUUGAAUAACACAAAAGAGCUCUAAGAGUUUGGUACCCACGGCUUUGGAUGGAAACAACCUAUGGCUUACAAAAAUUACAAGACAUAAGAGCUCUAAGAGUCUUAAGACAAAGACUUGAAUAACACAAAAGAGCUCUAAGAGUUUGGUACCCACGGCUUUGGAUGGAAACAACCUAUGGCUUAAAAAAAUUAUAAGACAAAAGAGCAAAGUCUGAAGACAAAGACUGAAUAACACAAAAGAGCUCUGGUACCCACGGCUUUAGAUGGAAACAACCUAUGGCUUAGAAAAAUUACAAGACAAAAGAGCAAAGUCUUAAGACAAAGACUGAAUAACUUAAAAGCGCUCUAAGAGUUUGGUAGCCACGGCUUUGGAUGGAAACGAUGGCUUAGAAAAAUUAUAAGACAAAAGAGCAAAGUCUUAACAAAGACUGAACAUAUUACUGACAGACUGAACAUUUAAGCUUCAAAAAACAAGGUAAGUAAAGGGGCAUUUAUGUUCAAUGGAUACUAACUAAUUAAGAUUUCCUCAGGUAUUUGGUUCUGAAGGCGUUGAAAUGGACAAACUCUGAGGAGAUUACAAGUGUGGCAGACUUCUUUAACAGGUAUAUGCUUGAAAAAGGUGUUCAUAAUCAGGUAUAGACUUUUCUCAACUUGUCUGUGAUUAAUUGUUAUUAUCACCUGUGAAAACUACAUUUAUAAGUUAGAUUAUAUAUCUACGUAACGUAGAGAUAUUAGAUAUGUAUAUCUAAAACACCAUUCUAAUUAAAGAUGUAUCUUGAAUAGUUGUCUUGACAUUAUUAUUUCAUUGUUCUAGUAUCUGUCGGAUUGUAGAAACUUAUUGUUAAUAUAUCCAUUGUUAAUUUAUUGUGUCGGUACUUAUGUGACAUAGAGUUUCUCAUUUCGGUACUUAUUGUAGUCUGUCGGAUUGUAGAAAUUCACUGUUAACUUAUUGUGUCUCUGUUUCGGUACUUAUGUAUCAUAGAGUUUCUCAUUUUAUAAAUGGGAAUGCUCUUGUAGUCUAUUGUAGUUUUGAACGUAGAUGAGACUCUUGCAAAUGAUGGUAGUAGUUUGCUUGAAUCUUGAGUGUCUUUUUUUUUACUUUAUACUCUAAAAACCCUUUUCGAUACUAGUAAUCUCUGAUUUGGUGCUUCUAUGUAAGAUAAGACUUCUUUUUUUAUGAAACUGAUAGAGAUGUAAUUUAUUUCACCUAAGUACUAUCUUAGUUAGACUUGAUAAAGUCAUAUGAUUUGUUUCCGUUUCUAUAUUAGGUUUCUCUUUAAAUAAAGAGCUUAGGUUUUAGAGAAGACAGGAAAGUUAGACAUAAGAGUUAUUUUCUUAGGAUUGGACAAGGGUUUUCGGUCCUUGUAGGGAGAGCUUGUCUCUUUGUUUAUCUAUCUUUAGUUCCCUAUAUCGAUAAAAUCAGUUAUAUUUCUCAUAUUUGUAAGCCUUGUGAGUUUUAACUCCAUCUGAAAUGGAUGAAGUUUUUAGUUGAUUGUAGCUAUUUAUUUACGUUCAUGAGACUCAUGUAGAUAAUUGUAGUAGUUUCCCUUGAAUAUUGAAUGUCUUCGUUUUGCGUUAUGAUCUUAAGUCUAAACACUUGGUGACUGAUGUUUUGGCGUUUUGUAUUAUUAACUGAUGAAUUACUGUGUUUUCUAUAAAUUGUACAUGAUGGCUUAGUCUUUACUAUACAUGUUGUCAGUUUAUGGUAGUAGGUCUGCUCUUAGUCUUACAUAGUUGAUGCAAUUUCAUGUGUUUGGUUUGUUAGUUUGAAUAACACUUUCUAUGAUUGAUGUCAAAAUCAGAAAUUAGUUCGCUUUUAUCAUCCUCAUUGUAGGCAUAUGAAAUAUAUACAUUUAGGUCGGACUAAAUGUAUCCUAUAUCCAGUAUUUGGUUUCGUAGUUUGCUAUAAUAGUUUUAGAAUUAGAAGUUCUUAAAUCUCUACUUUAGUAAAAAGGUUUAUGUAAAACGUCCAGUCUUAUACUCUUAUGUUUGGUACUAGGCAAAGGACAGAGUAUACAUGUGUCUUCUGAUAUGUUUCUAAGAGACAUCAUAAUCAAUUGCUAAACUAAAGAGUUCAGGUGUUGAGGCAGUACGAUUAUAUAGAACCUUUCAAUAUAUCUUGCACCUUUUGUCUAUUUCCACAUUUGAUUUUUGAAUUCGGCACCAUAAAAUGAUGAUUAUUGAGUUAGAUUCUACAAACUGUAUUGGUCGACUUACAAUCCAUUGAUUGAAAAUAUAUCUGCUAUGGUGUAUUCGUGUCUGUCAUUUAGUCUAUUGAAUCACACGUGUAUUUAUUUACAAAGUGCAAUAGAUAUUUCUUGAAAUCCUUACCAUACCUUAUGUUUCCAUAAUAGUUUUCUAUCGUUGAUGACUUGAGAACAACAGGCGAUUCUAUCUUUCUUAUUGUAGAGUGGCAUAACUGAUAUUCUCUGCUAUUUAGAUCAACUAAAUGUGUUUUUAGAUUUGAUCAUACUCUAAUAUGUACAUAGUUUAUGUUUGUUACUAGGCAAAGUAGCCGAUUGAGUUACUAACUUAUUAUUUUAGAGCAUUAGAGCUGAUUGUUUGUCAAUGGAAAUUGGAUUUCACUGUUUUCUACUUUUCUUGUCAAUAAACAAUUUUUUGGCAGUUUUCUUUUGAUAUAGUUUUGUGUUAGAUUACUAAUAUACUAGCAUUAUAUGUUUGUUCAUUAACAUCGUUUUUGGUAUCUUUUUAGAUUUGUGUUAGAUUAUAAGAUUUGGCUGGUGUACACACAUCACUUGCAUUUUGGUUUCUUGUCUUUUGACCAUUUUUUGGAUGAUAGCAUUUUAAGUUUUGCUUCUCGAUAAUUAAGCUUUUGCGUGAUAAGUUAAUGAUAACUUUGUAUGUUUAUCCUAAAUUGCACCACUUAAUUUAACUUCCAGUGCUGUCUAUGAUGGUUUUGCGUAAUUAGUAUGUGUAUGUUUUUGAUUGAACCCAACUUGAAUCUUUUGUUUCGAUUGCAUAGAGUUUAUAACUUAUAACUUGAACACUAUUUUACUAUUUAAACAAAAACCAAUGUAGAUUUUCAAAGAACGCUAGAUUUUUCAAGAAAAUAUUCGAAUAGUGUAAAUUUUCUACAUUAAACCGUAAGAUUUAGAUCAUAAACCUUUAUGAGUCUGACGAAAGACAAAAUUUGUGAGAAAAAUAUAGGUAAAAUGACAAUGAAAAAUAAACAAAUCAAGUAAAUUUAAUAAAACCCAAACUGAUUUUUCAUAUAACUCAUAAUUCUAACUUUACCAUUCAUUUACUUGUUACUGAAAUUGUAAUAUGUAUACAUAUUUGUUCUUCGUAAAACGGUAACAUUAUUAUAUGUUUUUAUGUAGAUGUAGAUGUAUAAUCAUUCAUUACUAAACACUCAAACUCUGUUUCAUGUAAGAAACUAAGAGCAUCUUUACUGGCAGUUACUCUCAUGGUUACUCAACCAUUUGGGGCCAAAAAACUGAAUAAAAAAUCUAUUUACGAUCCAUUUAGGAGAGAAUCGAUUCCCUGGGAAGCAUCUGAAGCAACACCAUGAGUAACCGUACGUGGCCUAUUUUCAUUCGUAAAUACAU